rnacentral:tRNA from 1 species
UGUGGCUCAGUGGUAGAGCACUUGCCUAGCAUGCAUGAGGUUGGGGGUUCCAACCCCACCA